AGUGAACGCUGGCGGUAGGCCUAACACAUGCAAGUCGAACGGCAGCGCAGUAAGAGCUUGCUCUUACGGGUGGCGAGUGGCGGACGGGUGAGGAAUACAUCGGAAUCUACUUUUUCGUGGGGGAUAACGUAGGGAAACUUACGCUAAUACCGCAUACGACCUACGGGUGAAAGCAGGGGAUCUUCGGACCUUGCGCGAUUGAAUGAGCCGAUGUCGGAUUAGCUAGUUGGCGGGGUAAAGGCCCACCAAGGCGACGAUCCGUAGCUGGUCUGAGAGGAUGAUCCGCCCACCUGGAGAUGAGGCCCGGCGCCGCCCCCGCGGGGGGGGCGGGGGGGGGAUGUUUGGAAAGGGGGCGCAACCCUACACCAGCCUUGCCCGGUGGGUAAAGAAGGCCUCUGGGUUGUAAAGCCCUUUUGUGGGGAAAAAAAAGCAGCAGGUUAAUACCCCGCGUUUCCGCCGGUACCCAAAAAAUAAGCCCCGGCUACCUUCGU
rnacentral:rRNA from 1 species